ACUAUUCCGCCUUUAUAUGCACAUUAAAGGUUAAAGAUUGAAUAGUAAUCCACGUGGUAGAUGCAGUUGUAGGUUCCAACUGGUGCACAUCUUAUUAGAGACAGCAACCAAGCUUGAAGUAAGCAGAGCGAAGAUUAGCUAUACCUCGAUAGGCUUAAUGAGGUGCUUAACAGUCUAACACUAACUGAACAAUAAGUGUUA
rnacentral:ncRNA from 1 species